UUAGCCAUUUGGAUCCUUGUAGUAUAUAUUGGCUACAGUAGGUUCAUUGUAUGAGCAGGGUGCACACGUAGAUGAGAUCUAUCAACUUUAGUAGAUAAGUAGUCCUAUAGGAUUUGAGAAGCUAAGUCUUUAAGUCUGUGGCUACAGUAAGGUGAUUGAUGGAAAAAAGUUUUCAUGAUUUGGACUCAAGCUAAUUAAAUCUUGUAUAUGACAGAUGUUGUGUUAGAACCAACAGCACCCUGGUAUCACCUAACUCUGAUACCAAC
rnacentral:lncRNA from 1 species